UGAUGGAGGAGCUUGCUCUUCCUGAUUAGUGGCGCACGGGUGAGUAUACCAUAGAUAAUGUACCCCUUAGUUCGGGAUAGCCACUGGAAACGGUGAUUAAUACCGGAUACUCCUUCUUGUCUUAAGGCAAGUCGGGAAAGUUUUUUCGCUAAGGGAUCAGUCUAUGUCCUAUCAGCUUGUUGGUGAGGUAAUGGCUCACCAAGGCUAUGACGGGUAUCUGGUUUGAGAGGAUGAUCAGACACACUGGAACUGAGACACGGUCCAGACUCCUACGGGAGGCAGCAGUGAGGAAUAUUGCACAAUGGAGGAAACUCUGAUGCAGCAACGCCGCGUGGAGGAUGACGCAUUUCGGUGUGUAAACUCCUUUUAUUAGGGAAGAUUAUGACGGUACCUAAUGAAUAAGCACCGGCUAACUCCGUGCCAGCAGCCGCGGUAAUACGGAGGGUGCAAGCGUUACUCGGAAUCACUGGGCGUAAAGGGUGCGUAGGCUGGCUUCUAAGUCAGAUGUGAAAUCCAAUGGCUCAACCAUUGAACUGCAUUUGAAACUGGGAGCCUAGAGUUCAGAAGGGGCAGAUGGAAUUAGUGGUGUAGGGGUAAAAUCCGUAGAUAUCACUAGGAAUAUCAAAAGCGAAGGCGAUCUGCUGGGAUGAUACUGACGCUGAGGCACGAAAGCGUGGGGAGCAAACAGGAUUAAAUACCCUGGUAGUCCACGCCCUAAACGAUGAAUGCUAGUCGUCGGGGAGCUCGUCUCUUCGGUGAUGCACUUAACAGAUUAAGCAUUCCGCCUGGGGAGUACGGUCG
rnacentral:rRNA from 1 species